rnacentral:rRNA from 1 species
GACGAACGCUGGCGGCGUGCUUAACACAUGCAAGUCGAACGAUGAAGCCCAGCUUGCUGGGUGGAUUAGUGGCGCAAGGGUGAGUAACACGUGUGCAACGUGCCCGCAACACUGGAAUAACUCCCGGAAACGGUGGCUAAUACUGGAUAUGUGCCAGGGAGGCAUCUCCUCUGGUUGGAAAGAUUUCUCGGUUUCGGAUCGGCUCACGGCCUAUCAGCUUGUUGGUGGGGUAAUGGCCUACCAAGGCGAUGACGGGUAGCCGGCCUGAGAGGGUGACCGGCCACACUGGGACUGAGACACGGCCCAGACUCCUACGGGAGGCAGCAGUGGGGAAUAUUGCACAAUGGGCGCAAGCCUGAUGCAGCAACGCCGCGUGCGGGAUGACGGCCUUCGGGUUGUAAACCUCUUUUAGUAGGGAAGAAGCGCAAGUGACGGUACCGGCAGAAAAAGCACCGGCUAACUACGUG